CCUACGGGGGGCAGCAGUGGGGAAUAUUGCACAAUGGGCGCAAGCCUGAUGCAGCCAUGCCGCGUGUGUGAAGAAGGCCUUCGGGUUGUAAAGCACUUUCAGCGGGGAGGAAGGCGUUAAGGUUAAUAACCUUGUCGAUUGACGUUACCCGCAGAAGAAGCACCGGCUAACUCCGUGCCAGCAGCCGCGGUAAUACGGAGGGUGCAAGCGUUAAUCGGAAUUACUGGGCGUAAAGCGCACGCAGGCGGUCUGUCAAGUCGGAUGUGAAAUCCCCGGGCUCAACCUGGGAACUGCAUUCCAAACUGGCAGGCUAGAGUCUUGUAGAGGGGGGUAGAAUUCCAGGUGUAGCGGUGAAAUGCGUAGAGAUCUGGAGGAAUACCGGUGGCGAAGGCGGCCCCCUGGACAAAGACUGACGCUCAGGUGCGAAAGCGUGGGGAGCAAACAGGAUUAGAUACCCUUGUAGUC
rnacentral:rRNA from 1 species